rnacentral:rRNA from 1 species
CGGACGGGUGAGUAACGCGUGGGUAACCUGCCUCACACUGGGGGAUAACAGUUAGAAAUAGCUGCUAAUACCGCAUAAGCGCACAGUUCCGCAUGGAACAGUGUGAAAAACUCCGGUGGUGUGAGAUGGACCCGCGUUGGAUUAGCUGGUUGGUGAGGUAACGGCCCACCAAGGCGACGAUCCAUAGCCGACCUGAGAGGGUGACCGGCCACAUUGGGACUGAGACACGGCCCAA